rnacentral:rRNA from 1 species
GACGUAGGGCGCGAGCGUUGUCCGGAUUUAUUGGGCGUAAAGAGCUCGUAGGCGGCUUGUCGCGUCGACUGUGAAAUCCCGCGGCUCAACUGCGGGUCUGCAGUCGAUACGGGCAGGCUAGAGUUCGGUAGGGGAGACUGGAAUUCCUGGUGUAGCGGUGAAAUGCGCAGAUAUCGAGAGGAACACCUGCGGCGAAGGCGGGUUGCUGGGCUGACACUGACGCUGGACAGCGCGAAAGCUAGGGGAGCGAACGGG